UCUGUCUGUCGUGUGUCAGCGAUCCAGAAUCUCCAGUCUUUCGGUUGGCAUUGCCAAGGAAGACCAGCUGAAGGUGCACGGCUUUUGAGCGUCGGCACGAAGAUGCGUGCGCACAGACCAUGAUGCGGCGCCGCGCUGCACGACCGGAGCCACCCACGCCUGCUCUCAGAUGCUUCCAACACCGCCACGCUCGACCGCACCUCCCCGCACACCUCCGCAGAAAAUGAAUACCCACAGUUGCACAUUUAUCACUGUUUUAGUUGAAGAUGAAGUAAGGUUUGAAUCAAUUUUACCCAGUUCAUUUUCCCGACCACCUGAUUUAAACGAAUUAUCCCACUACUCUGUUUAGCACUUGUUGCAGUAUUUCACUUAAGAACGUGUUUAAAUGAAUCUGAGAAAUGCACGAAAAUAUUUUAUUUUGUAUCACUACACAUUUUUUCACUUAAUGUUACAGUGUUAUUUUUUUACCUCUAUCGCUUUCAGACAUGCUAUCCUGGCCUACAUGGAUCUCUUUAUGUUUUAUUAUUUUAAAAAAUAUGAGAAGAAGCACAUUGUUUGAGAGACCUUCAUAAUAUGGAUGAAAACAUGCUAAUCUCUUUUAAAAGAAUGUAAUCCAGGCAUGCCAAUUAUCUAGUUUUAAGAGGAUUACCGCAAUAACACUGAGAAACAACUAUUAAAGCACUAAGAAUGUUGAAUGUCGACUCAUGUUGGACAAGACAUACAUCCCUUUGAAAUGUAUUUUUAACUAUGUUAAAUGUGACACCUGUGUUCAUGGAUUUAAAUGAGAUGUGAAUGAUAAGCACAUUUUGUGCAG